CUCAUUGUAAUCUGUAAGUCGCUCUGGAUAAGAGCGUCUGCUAAAUGACUUAAA
rfam:Salmo salar isolate Sally breed double haploid chromosome ssa14, whole genome shotgun sequence.